rnacentral:rRNA from 1 species
AGUGAACGCUGGCGGCGUGCCUAAUACAUGCAAGUAGAAGGACGUGGCGCACGGGUGAGUAAUAUAUAGCUAAUCUGCUACUUGCUGUAGGACAACAGUUAGAAAUGACUGAUAAUACUCCAUAGCAAGGGAUGAGACUAUAUCGUAUCCGCUAGUCGGUGGGGUAACGGACUACCGAGGCUAGGACGCGUAACUGGUCUGAGAGGAUGAGCAGGGACAUUGGAACUGAGAAACGGUCCAAAAUCCUACGGGAGGCAGCAGUAGGGAAUAGUGCGCAAUGGGGGAAACCAGGACGCAGCAACGCCGCGUGGAGGAUGACACUUUUCGGAGCGUAAACUCCUGUUGUUAGGGAAGCGGUACCUAACGAAUAAGCACCGGCUAACUCCGUGCCAGCCGCCGCGGUAAUUC